UGCGUAGGCGGGUCUUUAAGUCAGGGUGAAAUCCUGGAGCUCAACUCCAGAACUGCCCUUGAUACUGAGGAUCUUGAGUACGGGAGAGGUGAGUGGAACUGCGAGUGUAGAGGUGAAAUUCGUAGAUAUUCGCAAGAACACCAGUGGCGAAGGCGGCUCACUGGCCCGUUACUGACGCUGAGGCACGAAAGCGUGGGAGCAAACA
rnacentral:rRNA from 1 species